rnacentral:lncRNA from 1 species
UUGGGUGGUGGAGGAGAGCUAUAGUAGUAUGGUGGAGGUGGUGACUUAACUGGUGGUGGUGGAGAAGUGUAGUGAUAUGGUGGAGGAGGUGAUUUCUUGGGUGGUGGAGGAGAGUUGUAGUAGUAUGGUGGAGGAGGUGACUUAACCGGCGGUGGUGGAGAAGUGUAGUGAUAUGGUGGAGGAGGUGAUUUCUUGGGUGGUGGAGGAGAGUUGUAGUAGUAUGGUGGAGGAGGUGACUUAACCGGCGGUGAUGGAUAAGUGUAGUAGUAGUAUGGUGGAGGAGGUGACUUAACCGGCGGUGAUGGAUAAGUGUAGUGAUAUGGUGGAGGAGGUGAUUUCUUGGGUGGUGGAGGAGAGCUAUAGUAGUAUGGUGGAGGAGGUGACUUAACCGGCGGUGGUGGAGAAGUGUAGUGAUACGGUGGAGGAGGUGAUUUCUUUGGUGGUGGAGGAGAGCUAUAGUAGUAUGGUGGGGGAGGUGACUUAGCCGGCGGUGGUGGAGAGUUGUAGUAGUAAGGUAGAGGAGGAGACUUCUUUGGGGGUGGUGGAGAGGUGUAGUGAUACGGUGGAGGGGGUGAUUUCUUUGGUGGUGGUGGCGAGGAGUAAUAGUAUGGUGGAGGAGGUGACUUCUUGGGUGGGGGUGGAGAGCUGUAGUGGUAAGGUGGAGGUGGUGACGACUUAGGGGGAGGUGGAGAUUUAUAGUAGUAAGGUGGUGGAGGUGAUGGUGAUGGUGGUGGAGGAGAUUUAUAGUAGUAUGGUGGCGGUGGUGAAGGUGAUGGUGGAGGAGGAGACUUGUAGUAAUACACUGGAGGUGGUGACGGUGAUGGUGGAGGAGGUGAUUUGUAGUAGUAAGUUGGCGGAGCAGAGGGCGAUGGAGGUGGUGGAGACUUAUAUACAUAUGGUGGUGGCGGAGAUGGUGAAGGAGGAGGUGGUGAUUUGUACACAUAAGGUGGUGGGGGAGAAGGCAAAGGAGGUGGUGGUGACUUGUACUCGUACGUCGGAGGAGGUGGAGAAGAAUAUACAUAAGGGUCUGCAGACACUACAUUUGCAACAACCAAUAUGGCCAAUGCCACUACGAUCUCUGGCAAACGACGACCUCUAGUGGGGCCGCCACCGUUAAACUUCAUCUUCGCCGGAAAACACCACCACCAACCCCUCAAAUAUAGCUACAAUAAUCUCAAAAAACUUGGAAGUGUCACAAAGAAAAAAUAGGAGAAAAGGCUUGGUGUUUUAGUUAAGUGAUUGAAUGUCCAAAGUAUUUAUAGUAACAUUUGAUGAGAACUACUAGCUGGUAUAGAGUUGUCAACAAGUGACCAAUUCAAUUAAUCUGAUUGUUAAUCAAAGAUUAAAAAUAUUAAGAACUCUAAACAGCUAGAUUAAUUUUUUCUUUUUAAAUUCCAUUACUGAAUCACUUUGAAUUAUUCAUUCAUACUUCUUUAACAAGUACUUAGAAACAUCUCAUAACAAGUGAGUGCUUAAUUUAAAAUUAUUUCCACUUCUAUUGCACUUUUGAACUCUUUGUUUUGUCUCAAAGAGUGAGAUCUCACAAUUAUUUGUGGUAUUCUAUCAUAAAAUAAAUCAAUUCAUUAUGUGGCAUUUUCUUAAAUAAUUAUCUUUGCAAAUAAUUAUUCACAGAAACAAUCUUUUGCAUAAAUACAAAGUAAGACUACUUAAAAUAAUCUUUAUUGUUUAGCCAUUCCUCGAGCCCCAUAUAUAAAGGGAGUCUUAUGCACUAAACUGCCCUUUUUAUCUUUUGCAUAGCAUUAUGAAAUAUGUGAAAUGGAUGAGAUAUUCUUUUAUCUAUAACAGAGGUUCUGAGUUCGAAUCUUAAGAAUAAAGAAAUUACUGAUAAAUAGUUUUCCCCUUUUAACGGCCCUUAUGCAUCGUGAACUAGAAUUAGUUGAGUCGAUAAAUUCCUAAUACAAAUGAUUGCUUAUAAUGAAAAGACAUAAAUAUCAUCAUAAUAUAGAAUACAAAUUAUUUUAUAAAUUGUGAACUAGAAGCUUAAUUUAGAAUACAAACAUUUCCUUUGAGAUUGAAAUGUUUCAACAAUUACAAAUGGAACUCUCAAUGCUACAAAAAGAUUGAUAAUUAUAUCUUUAUAGUAAAUUCCAGAAUUAUUGAAAAUUAUAUACUGUCAUUUCCGUUAAUACCAUGUACCAAAAUCGAAUGGAAAAUAAAAAAUUACCUGAUCAUAUUUGUUUUGUUUAUUACACAUUUCUGACUUGUAAGGGGAUGUAAUUAAUAAGAAUAUUCCUGUCAUUUUGUUUAAUGACAAAUAAUAAUUAUUCUGACAUAUACUAAUUUAAAAUUACAAGCCGACAAAAAUUCAAUUAUUUCCUUACUUGACUUUAAUCCUUGUAAUAAUUGAUCGAAUAAAUUAGUGAUUGAUUAGUUUUUCAACAUAUAUAAAGUUCACAUAUUUUGUAAAUAUGUUAUGCUUUUCAUAUAUUUCAUUGCAAUAAUAUUUGAAAAUGCAUGUGAAUUCUCAAUGAUGAGAUCAACUACAAGUGUGAGGCAAUACUUAUAAUUUUUUUGCAGCUUUUUAUUGGUUCAAUAUUGUUGAGCAAAUAGCAUGGAACAAAUGAGAAAUGGCAUUUUAUACUUUUAGGGUACAUUAUGAUGGACAAUUUUAUAUGAUUUUUUUUAUUUUUUUUUUUAAUGUUUGGUUGGAUGAAAAUCUGCAAAAAGAGAAAAUGCUUUUCUCAAUUUUAGUCGAUAGUCAUUUUCCUUCACAACUAUAUGAAACAUGAUUUUCCCACCUUAUUUCAACUGAGUCAGUUCACUAAGAAUAACUAUGGUGGAAAAUAAAUUCUCACUGAAAUGCUGAAAAGCUUUCUAAUUUUGUUUUCGUGAAAAUGUGACUAUUUCUUUUUCUCUCACCGAUUUAAUCAAAAUAUCUACGAAUACAAUCGUUAACCAUUUUUUGAUGUUAAAGCUGUCGAUCGAUUUUCGGAUCAAACUGUAGUCGGGAUCCAAGCCUACCCCUAGAAUUGUGGGAUAACACCCACCGAAUUGGUUCGAAAAUUGCUCGUUCACGCCGUUUCACCCGUUUGACCACCCAAAUGGCCCCGCCGGGCCACCCUUACCUGCUCUACAAUCCAUCGGGGGGCCGACGGUCAAUUUUCAGCCCAAACUGCGCUCGCGCCCAAAGCCCACCUCGAGAAUAGUGGGCUAACACCCACUGAAUUGGCCCAAAUGCGGUUGUUUAGCCUGUUUGAUCACCUAAAUGUUAACACCCAUCGAUUUGGCCCGAAAAUGGACCGUUCAUGCCCUUUCGCCCGUUUGACCACCUAAAUGGCCACGCUAACCCCGCUAGUCCAUCCUCACCCACUCCACACCCCGCUGAGGGACUGUCGGUCAAUUUUUGUCCUAAACCACGCCCGAGCCUUAAGUCGACCCCGAGAACCGUGGGCUAACACGAAUCGAAUUGACACAAAAAUGUCUCAUUCGCGUCGUUUGAUCACCCAAAUGGUAACUCCCAUCAGUUUAACCCAAAAAAGACCCAUUCGCAUCGUUUCACUCAUUUGACCACCCAAAUGGCCCCACCAUCCCUGCUAGCCAACCCUCACCCGCUCCACAGCCCGCUGUGGGGAUGUUAGUUGAGUUUUAGCCCAAACCACAGUUGGACCCUAGGCCUACCCGCUAGAACAGUGGGCCAACACUUACCGAUUUGGCCCGAAAAUGAUCCAUUUGCACUGUUUCACCAGUUUGCCCACCCAAAUGGACUCGUAAACCCUAUCGAACCAUCCUCACCCGCUUGACGCUUGGGCCCACCCCUCGAACAGUGGGGUAACACUCACUAAAAAUCGCAAAAAACCCACGAUUCCAGCCAUUUCGCCUGUUUGACUUGAAAAAUAGCUCUACUAGCGUCGCUAAACCAACCAGAUCCACUCAAUAGACCAUCGAGAUACCACACAAUGAUUUUUGCCCAAAAUCAGGCUUGGGGCCUGGGCCCACACCCUAACUGUGGGUUAAUACCCAUUGAAAGUCGUAAAAAAGUCGUUAUUCUUGCCGUUUUGCCCUUUUAACUUUGAAAUAACUCCACCGACCCCGCUGAACCAACCAUAUUCACUCAAUAGGUCAUCGGGGGACCGCCUGAUACGGAACAAACAAGGGAACACGAAAUCAUACUCCAAAACAGCCCACAAAUCACAACAAAUCGUGGACCAAAUGGGGACCUCUCUCGGAUUCACUAUCUAGAACAAGAAAGAAGAGGAUACAAGGUGUUAAUACACCAAAACAGCAAGCCAACAACAAGUUUAACAACACAAGAUGAAGCUCCACAAUAUUACAAUAUCAACAAGAACAAACGGGUUACAUUAACAACACAAGAAGCCAAAACUAAAACAAGAUACAAGAUAGGUAGUUAGACAAGUGUUGAUGUAGUCUUAACAACCCAAGAGCAUAUUCCACUCUUGAACCUUUAAAACUUCACACAACAAACACCUAACUCUUACAAUUGACACAAGAGAGGCGUCCACCACCCAAGCACCAACGUAUCAAGCAAAAUGCAACACACAAGAGAAUCCACCCUUAUGUUAUGCCCUAGUUUCAAUUGGACUCUCUCUCACUCUAAUAGAAGUAUUCUUCAAUAAUAAUGAUCAACUAAAGAAAUAAACCCUACAAUGUUCUAUUUAUACUACAUUACAAUAAUAGACAAAAUGACAAAAGGGCCCUUUAGUGACUAGUCUUAAAAAAUACUCACAUGUGUCAUGAUCAUGAUCAUACUUGUAUCACCGCCAAAUAAUUUUUGCCCCAAAAAUGGGAUCGGAGCCCCAUCCCACCCCCGUACAGUGGGUUAAAACCCAUCUAAAGUUACAAAAACCUUAAGAUUCCCGUCGUUUUGCCCGUUUGACUUGAAUAAUGGCUCCACUUGCCCCGCCAAACCAACCAGAUCCACUCAAUAGGCCGCCGAGGGAUCGCCCGAUUGUUUUUGCCCAUAACCAAGCCUGGAACCCUCUCUCCUCCUGAAUUGUAGGUUAAUACCCAUCGAAAGUCGCAAAAAACCCACGAUUCCUGUCGCUUCGCCCGUUUUACUUGAAAAAUGACUUCACUAACACUGCCGAACCAACAGAUCCACUCAAUAGGCUGUCGAAGGACCAUUCAAUGAUUUUCCCCCAAAACUGAUCCCAAGGCCCUACCCCCCAAACCGUGUGCUAACACCCACCGAAUGUCAUAAAAAAUCCAUGAUUUCUGAUGUUUCGCCCGUUUAAACUUGGAAAAUGGAUCUACUAGCUUUACCGAACCAACUAGAUCCACUCAAUAGGCAGCUCGAGAAGUUUCCCCUAAAAUUUUUUUGGAACCUGCACUCACCCCCCGAUCCGUGGGUUAACACCCACCGAACAUCACCCCCCGAUCCGUGGGUUAACACCCACCGAACAUCGCAAAAAAAAAAAACCUGCAACUCUUGCCGUUUUGCUAGUUUGACUUAGAAAAUGGCUCCCAUUGCCCCUCCAAACCAACCUGAUCCAUUUAAUAUGUUGUUAGGAGAUUGCCCGAGAAGUUUCGCUCAAAAUCUUUUUCGUAUCUGCACCCCCUCCCGAUUCGUUGGGUAAUACCCACCAAAAGUUGCAAACAAAUCGCAAUUCCUACUAUUUCGCAUGUUUGACUUGAAAUAUGGAUCCCCCGGUUUCUUUAAACUAACCUAAUCCAUUUAAUAGGCUGUCAGGGGACCACCCGAGAAGUUUUCCUCAAAAUAUUUUUCGGAAUCCACACCCACCCCCGAUCCAUGUGCUUAACCCAUCGAAAGUCUUAAAAAAUUGUAAUUUCUACCGGUUUGCUCAUUUGACUUAAAAAAUAGGUUCCCCAACCCCUCAGGUUGUCAGGGGCACUUCCAAGAAGUUUCAUUCAAAACUCAUUCAGAUGCCCACACUCACCCAUCAAUCCAUUGGUUAACACACACGAAAAAUCACAAAAAAUCAUCAACUUCUAGUAUAUCGUUCAUUUGUUAUUUUAAAAAAACUCUGUCCGCCCCUCCAAACGAAUACGAUCCAUUUAAUAGAUCAUCAGGGGGGGACCAAAAAGUUUCAACUAAAAACGAUUUCGGACCCCCUCACCCACCCAUCAAUCCAUAGGCUAACACACAUAAAAAAUCACAAAAAAUACUCAAUAUUUGAUAUUUUGCUUAUAUGUCUUGAAAAAACCUUCACCCACUCCUCCAAACCAACAUGAUCAAUUUAAUAGUUCGUUAGGGAUGCGCCCAAGAAGUUUCGCCAUAACUCAUUUGAAUGCCCACUCCGAUCCCACCUAUCAAUCCAUAGGCCAACACACAUGAAAAAUCGUAAAAAUUACCAAAUUUUAGUAUUUCGCUCAUAUGUUAUUAAAAAAACUUCAUCCGACCUUCCAAAUCAACACAAUUCAUUUAAUAGGCCGUUAGGAGCUCGCCUAAUAAGUUUCGCCCAAAACACAUUCCAAUGCUCACAUCCACCCAUCAAUCCAUAUGCUAAUACACAUAAUAAAAAUCACACACACAAAAAAAUUUAGUAUUGUGUUCGUAUGUCUUGAAUAAAACCUCUGCCCGCCCCUCCAAACAAACAUGAUCCACCUAAUAGGUCACUAUGGGCGCACCCAAGAAGUUUCACCCAAAACCCACUUGGACGCGCACAUCCACCCAUCAAUCCAUAGCCUAACACACACGGAAAAUCAUUAAAAAAAAAAUCCUCAUUUUUAAUAUUUCACUUAUACGUCAUUAAUGAAACUUCCGUCCGUCCCUCCAAACCAAUACAAUCUAUCUAAUAGAUCAUCAGGGGCACAUCCAAGAAGUUUCGCCCAGAACCCAUUCCAACCCCCUUUGGUGAUUCAUUGGCCAAUUUAUUUAUAGUAACACUCCUUGGGUUAAUUGUUUGUGAGAUUAAAUGAGCUUUUAAAUUUUUUAUAUAAUUGGAUGGUUGAAUUAAAAUAAUUUUUAUUUUGUUUUAUUUAAAAAAGAAAUAAUUUUUAUUUUAAAUAAAUAUAAACUAUUGAAUCCUUUUGAUAUUUAUUUAUAUCUUAGGUAUGGCAACUUUUAAAUUUCUGGUUUAGUUUCAUAAAUUUUUAAUGUAUAUACAUUGAAAAUUAUUUUUAGUGGAGACAAAAAUAUUAAGUGAUUUUUUCUUAUCUGUUCAAACUUUGGUGGACAGAGUUAUUUGGUACUUCUUGCGGGUUGGAGAUGAUAAAUCUCUCGUAAAAUUAAUUGAGGUGCAUAUAAGCCGGUCAGGACACAUGAUUAUCCAAAAAAAAAAAAAGUUACUGACAGUAAGAAGUUCUUGUAUUAUGAUGUAACCUUUAUAUGUUCAAUUAACAUUAUAUUAACAAUAUUUAAUUUUGUGUGAAGAUUUUUUAACCACUACAACCACAUAUCACCUUUGGUUAGAGUCAGUAGUUUUCUAUGUGAAAAAUGGAUUAAAUAUUUUGACAUUUUCUUCAAAUUGAUCGAGAAGAUGAGAUAUAAUUUAAUUUGAAUGACUUGAUCAAGAUAAUUAAAUUAGUAAAUUCAUCAUCUAACUAUUGCCUCCACAAAUUCACAAGAAUUUUCAACAAAUAUUAAAUGACAGUUCGAUGCACUAAAUCUCCCGCUAUAUGCAGGAUUUGGAGAAGGAUUCCACCGUAAGGGUCUAAUUGUAAGCAAUUAUUUUCAAGGUUUGAACCAUGACCUCUUGAUUACGUGGACGCAACGUUUUUAAUUACUUCAAGGCUCUACUUCCAAUAAAUAUUAUUACAAUGAAAAUAUAAGAAAUUAUUCCUCAAGUGUAUCAAAAAAAUAUCAAAACCAAAAAUAAUUAAUAACAAAAAGAGAAGCGAAUUAAGCAAAGAGAUUUGACUACACAUUAAUAGUUUUCCAAGAAAAGUUGUAUAUAUCAUGGAUGUGUUUGCUCGGAAAAGUUGAUCAAUCCACGUCUAAUAUAGAAGAAAUUAUUCAAACAUUACAGGGGUAGUACAAUUGUACAAAACAACCUUUUUUUCAUAAUUAUGAAAUUCGUGUCAAUUUAUGUUCACCUCCUUUAAUUUUACGGGGUACAUAUUCUUUUCAUCAACACGUGUAUUAAAUAAUUUGGUACGCCAAAAUCUAAUGGAUGAAAAUAAUCAUCUAAAAUAUUUAUCUCCCCAGUAUAAAACAUCAACUCUUAUGUAUUACAAGUAAGUUUAUAUGACGGAUGCAGCGACGGAGUCAGAAUUUCUGCUGAGGAGGUUCAAAAUCUAAUAAAAACUCAUCGAAGGGUGGGGUGGGGUGGGGGUUUCUACAUCUACGAUGUAUAUAUAAAAAUCAUGUAUUACUAAUACAAUUUUUCAUCGAACGGAGUCAGACGAACCCCCAUUGUUAGGCUGGCUUCGACUCUGGACGGACAUUUAUAUAUAUAUAUAUGUGUGUGUGUACGGUUACAAGCUGUGGUACUCUGGGAGCGACAGGCGUAGGAAUGGAGUUGGCAUCUUGGUAGAUGAAGAGCUUAGAGGUCAGGUAGUGGAGGUGAAGAGGAUCAACGAUAGGUUGAUGACUAUUAAGUUGGUCAUUCGGGGGUUUACCCUGAACGUGUGUAGUGCCUAUGCGCCGCAUGUGGGAUCGGAGGGGGAGGAGAAGAUGCGGUUCUGGGAGGCCUUGGAGGACGUGGUGAGAGGCGUGCCCAGUUCGGAGAAGAUUGUGGUAGCAGGGGAUUUCAACGGGCACAUCGGGGCGCUACCGGGAGGCUUUGGGGAUGUGCAUGGAGGUUUUGGUUUUGGGGAGAGAAAUGAAGAGGGGGCGACCCUAUUGGAGUUUGCGAGGGCGUUUGGGCUGGUGGUGGUGAACUCGGGCUUCCCGAAGAAGGACGACCACCUGAUCACUUUUCGGAGCGCGGUAGCCAGGACCCAGAUUGACUUCUUGUUGCUUAGGAAAGGGGAUAGGGCGCUGUGUAAAGAUUGUAAAGUCAUCCCGAGUGAGAACCUUUCGACCCAACAUAGGCUCUUGGUUAUGGAUUUGGGUAUGAAGAAGAAUAAAAAGAGGAGGAGUAAGGAGUGUAGACCGAGAAUUAAGUGGGGCGGUUUGACGCCAGUGAAUGCGUGGGAGAUAGGGGAGAGGUUGGCGGGAAUGGGGGUGUGGGAGUGUAGGGGGGACGUGGAUAAUAUGUGGGACAGGGCGGCAGCGUGCAUCAGGGAAAAUGCAAGGGAGGUGUUGGGUGUUUCUAGGGGCCGGGCCGGACAUCAUCGGGGGGAUUGGUGGUGGAAUGAAGAGGUGGGGAAGAAAGUGGAGACCAAGAAAGAGUCGUAUGCUAAGUUGGUGGAAAGUAAGGACGAAGAGGAGAAGCGGGUAAACAGGAAAGAGUACAAGCUAGCAAGGAAGGAGGCGAAGUCAGCGGUCACGGCAGCUAAGACGGCUGCUUUUGAGAGCUUGUAUGCAGGGUUACAGGGGAAAGGAGGGGAGAAAAAGUUGUUCCGACUCGCUAAGGCUAGGGAGAGGAAGGGUCGUGACCUCGAUCAGGUGCGGUGCAUUAAGGGGGAGGACGGUAGAGUGUUGGUGGAGGACGGCCACAUAAAGAAGAGAUGGCAGUCGUACUUUCAUAGGCUCUUGAAUGACGAGGGGGACAGAGCUAUUGUGUUAGGGGAACUGGAGCACUCAGGGGAGUGUCGGGAUUUUAGCUAUUGUAGACGUUUUAAGGUAGACGAGGUUAGACAGGCAGUCCGCAGGAUGCGAAGGGGUAGGGCGACGGGGCCGGAUGAGAUACCGGUGGAGUUUUGGAAGUUCGUUGGAGAGGCUGGUGUAAGGUGGUUGACUGCAUUGUUCAAUGAAAUUUUCAGGACAGCAAAGAUGCCCGAGGCGUGGAGGUGGAGUACCAUGAUCCCCCUCUAUAAGAAUAAGGGGGACAUUCAGUGUUGCAAUAACUAUAGGGGGAUUAAGUUACUGAGUCACUCU